rnacentral:rRNA from 1 species
UACGUAGGUGACAAGCGUUGUCCGGAUUUACUGGGCGUAAAGAGCGCGCAGGCGGUCGAUCAAGUCGGGUGUGAAAGCCCCCGGCUCAACUGGGGAGGGUCAUUCGAUACUGAUCGACUCGAAGGCAGGAGAGGGUAGUGGAAUUCCCGGUGUAGUGGUGAAAUGCGUAGAUAUCGGGAGGAACACCAGUGGCGAAGGCGACUACCUGGACUGUUCUUGACGCUGAGGCGCGAAAGCUAGGGGAGCAAACGGG